AUUUUGGGUAUUGUGCAGCUUCCUACGAAAUUUCUUAUUUAGAAAGUUAUUUACUAAUUACUUCCUAUAGAUUUGUUGGGAAUUCUCAUAUCUACAUGUGUUGGUCCUUGUGGAAUGAUGAAAAGUAGUCCCAAAAAUAUUUACAGCCACCAAAUUGGUUAUUAAGGUUAUAGAGGCCUGGGUUUAUGGCACGCUUAGUAGCCACCAAGUUCUCCUAUCCUCAUUCUAAUCACCAUAUUUCAAUCUCCCAGCACUGAAAAUCCUUUAUUUAGAUCUCAACUCUAAAAACUCAUUAUUUACAUGGGCUCUGUGACAUAUCUUCAUGAAAUUGAAGAAAUUUUUCCAUGAAAUUCAGAAAGACAUCAAUUUUGUGAACAAUCAUAUUUUCUUCUUCCUUUCCUUCAUCGUCUUCUUGUUUGUCUUCAACCAUGGGCUUAUCCAACUUCAAAACCCGCCUUGACCCCUGCCUUGGAAUCAAUUUCAAUUUUCG
rnacentral:misc_RNA from 1 species